rnacentral:lncRNA from 1 species
UAUACAUCUAUAAUACUAAAAUUACGAGGUCCAAUUUGUCAGCCGUCAUCACGUAAAAACGACGAAUCAAAGAAUUCAACUUUAUAUAUAACUAAUAUAGUACAAAGGUGUAGAUUAAAAAUUACACCACUCCAGGCCCUUUUGUUUUCCACGUAAUUAGUAUUGCCAAUAAUUAAGAAGUUCCGGAUCGAGUUCGAUACCGAUACCAAUAGUAUAUUCACCUUUUACCUAUUACCUUAUCUGUACGUUCCGCAUCUGACAGGCGCACCACCAAACGGUGUAUUCAGGAUUAAUAUGCUAUAAACACGGGUCAUAAUCACAGGAUUGACACUACUAAAUUGUAGUAUUUUAAUCAGUAAGACUUUCUAAGAUAACAAUACGAAUAUUAAACAUCUGGACUAAAAAUAAGGCGUAUAGGUACAGUUUUCAAUUUGUUAGCGGGCAUGACGUAAAACAGCGAAUCAAAGAAUUCAACUUUAUUUAUAACUAAUAUAGGACAAUGCUGUUGAUUAAAAAAUACUCCAUUCCAGGACCUUUUGUUUUCCAAAUAAUUAAUAUUACCAAUAAUUGAUAAGUUCCAGUUCGACGGGUUCAAACAGAAAGAUUUGAAAACAGAGAAAACUGUGUAUCUUAUAAUCGGCAUGACUUUAUCAGAUGACAAUACUAAUACUAAAAUAAGGCUUGCGCAAAGUUAUAUACUUUAAUUCAGUCACGGACCCGCGAUAUCACGGGUGUG